UUUUUUUUAACUACUGUUAUAUAUAAAAUGAACAAUUCCGUCCUAUCGCCCACUUUUCUAUUUUUUUUGAGCUGAACGGUGACAGAGAUCGCCACCAUUUCAUUAGCAUACUAAAAAUGACAAAAAUCUUGUAGCAUGAGAACUCUCCCAGUACCAGUGAGAGAUCAUCUAGUAGUUACACAGUAAACUCCCCUAUCUCUCUAUAUGCUUAAAAACUAGAAACCGGCAUCAUGCAGAGUAUUAUCCCCUUUUCAAUAUUAAGGAGAUAGAAAAUAAAAAUUUAGAGCAUCAUACCACAGGAGGGCA
rnacentral:lncRNA from 1 species